rnacentral:tRNA from 1 species
AUGUAGCUUAACUAAAGCAUUUCGCUUACACCGAAAACAUGUCUUUUUAAACAGGACCAUUUUGAG